CAGCUUUUUCCCGUCUUGCAAACAAUUAGUUCUUCUGCACGCUCCCCUGAGUCCRUGUUAUUCUCGGCAUGAAAAUGGCAGAAUUAAAGGGUAUUUGCUCAACAAGAAACGCCCUGAAAAUAAAGCUGGUAUCAGGUAAGGGGAAGUUUGAACACAAGGAAAACAGCCCAGAAAUUGGAGCGAUAGUCAAGGCCCGAACACCGCGCGCGGCUCCACAAGCCRCAUUUGCACAUUCUUCCUCGUUUUUUCCCUAUUGCUGCUGGCGGCAAACCUGGAUUCUGGAUUUUUUUCCCCUCUGCUCUGCAGCGUGCAUGCGACGAAUCGCUUCCUCGUCGCCUCUGCUUACCCAUCCAUAAAGCGGAGGCCGCCGGUCGCCGAAGCGGGGAGCCGCCGCACCGUCCGUCCUCCCUCCUCGCCGUGAUCCGUUAGCGUUCAAACGACGCGGCGGCCACGAAAGACGGAGGAGGGAAAGAAGGAAUCGAUCAGCGAUGAACGCAUCAGGCUGGCUGCUGCUCCGCAGGAAUUCUGUGCCAGCAGCGGUUCUUUGGCGCUAACRGGCUUCGAGACAGCGGAGAAAACGCACAACUUCCGCAUCGGAGUCCGCAGCUCUGCUYGAUUUGUGCUCGUUUAAUAAGGGCAGGAUUUACAGAUUCUCCCCCAAGCACUUAAGUUCUCUUUGGGCAGUUUUUCUUGUGAGGCACCAGAAACCCGUGGUCUCCCUUGCUGCGGUGCAAACGUGGUUUUGGAGUGAAGAGGAAGGCUCGUAUGGCGUUCUGAGCACGGUGCUCGGCAAAGCUCAAUUAAUGCCGUGCAUGUUUAAUUGGAGUCUAGUGCCAGGGCUUUUCAAGGAAUGAACCGGGCGGAGGGAAGACCUGAGUAACUCAACUACCCAAACAGCUGCAGAACUCAGCCUUUAAUAUUUAUGCUGGCUGGGCUGACUGAGAUUACACGCUUCUGUCAGAUUGGGCUGUGAGACAGACUUUUAAACUAGCUGGCACCGAAAAAACAACUAAMGUCACCUCAUAUUUGCACACACUUUAUUUUGUAGUAUACAGAAACAUCAGCACGUACAGAAACACCAGCAAAAGAGAAGCAGCUGGAGGGACGUGUCCCGAAACAAACAGCCCUCCUCGAGUGAGUCACACGUACCCAUUUCAGCUGUUUCCUCCUGAAAAGUGAGUUGCUUCUUCCAGCUCUCUGCGCCCUUUUCUCCCCCUGCCUAUUCCUGCCGCUCCUGUGCUUAUCCUCUUACUCCUCRGUCUUCCUCAUCGUGAUCACC
rnacentral:lncRNA from 1 species